GAUGAACGCUGACAGAAUGCUUAACACAUGCAAGUCUACUUGAACUUCGGUUUGGGUGGCGGACGGGUGAGUAACGCGUAAAGAACUUGCCUCGCAGAUAGGGACAACAUUUGGAAACGAAUGCUAAUACCUGAUAUUAUGAUUUUAGGGCAUCCUAGAAUUAUGAAAGCUAUAUGCACUGUGAGAGAGCUUUGCGUCCCAUUAGCUAGUUGGAGAGGUAACGGCUCACCAAGGCGAUGAUGGGUAGCCGGCCUGAGAGGGUGAUCGGCCACAAGGGGACUGAGACACGGCCCUUACUCCUACGGGAGGCAGCAGUGGGGAAUAUUGGACAAUGGACCAAGAGUCUGAUCCAGCAAUUCUGUGUGCACGAUGAAGUUUUUCGGAAUGUAAAGUGCUUUCAGUUGGGAAGAAAAAAAUGACGGUACCAACAGAAGAAGUGACGGCUAAAUACGUG
rnacentral:rRNA from 1 species